UCACUUAACCACAUUGUCGACGGAGGCGAUGCCUCACAGGAACGCCGCCACCAGCUGCUGCGCCCGUCACCGCGCGCUCCACGUCUCGCAGACAGACUUUAUUUGUUACCCUCUGCUCGGAGCUGUGAAUUUAACCUUCGACUUGUUACAUAUUUAUCAGCGCCAAAAUGUUCUGGAGUUUAGACGGAAGCUGCCGGCGCCUGAGUUUCACUUCGCUGAAAGUAUGUGUGUGUGUUUUUGUUUUGAGUGUGUGAGUCAGAGGGAAGGAUGUCGAUGCACAGCCCAGGGUCAGACUGCCAUGUCUUAUCUGUGGCUGCUCUGUGAUAAAACCAGCAGCAGCAGCAGCAGCACAGACUUGUACACAGUGUCCAAAAGGACGAGGCUGCUGAAACAAAUCUUUUAAGCCAAGACUUUAAAUCAAGAAUUAAAUUAACAACUGGAUCUACACCUCAUCAACUCAUUGCCCCAAAAAAUAUGUUGCAUCCUAAUAACAAGAAGAACAUUUAGCAAAUACAAACACUAUUUUAUGAUGGACGAUAUUCAUCGUCAUAAAACAGACGACCGACCUCUGACCUACUGACCAUGUCCAGAAAAUCAGGUUGUUGUCGUCUGUGAUUCUUGUCAAAUACAAGGUACAAUGUUUUGUGGACCAGGGUCAGAGGUCACAGCACAAAUACACAUCUCUUGGCGACACCUCUGUCAUUCGGAGUUGAACACAGAGCCUGUUCUGUGUCACGUCACGUCUUCAGUGACCGACCAGGUCACUUGAUUCACAUCAGGUUGUACGACCGUCGUAGAUCUGUUGUCUUUGAGGUAUUUUACUGCUCGGUGCUGGAACAGGUUCCACAGUCGACCUCAGUGUCUCCUGACUUCAGGUGAAUCAUUACGACUCAUUUAUUACUCAUUUAUUACUUUCUACUCGAGGACGACUGACGUGUUCUACUGUAGGUUUGGAGCCAAACUCAGACCCUGGACCCAGGGGUUGAGUCACUCCUAUCAAAAUAUCAAAAUCAGACUUCAACUGGAAAGAGCAGAAACAACAUUUACCAAAAACCCUGAAGAACAAAGACGUUCAGAUUCAUACAGAGCUCCAGAGUUGAUCACAUUAACUCUCACUGACACAGAACAGGCGAAACAAUAACAAGGAACAAAAACAGGACAGCGUUAGCCGUAGAUUUACUGCGUUCCAGAAUAAACAGUGAAGUCUGCGUUAAAUAAUGUUACAAACACAAAGACAGAUUAUGGCUAAUCAUGUUUGGUUAGUUAGCAUCAUCGCUAACUAGCAGAUUGCUCUCUGUAGCAUGAGUCUGUGUGUGUUGUUGUGUAUUAGCAUGAGCUGCUGUCACUGUGUCCAGGUCAAAGUCUGAGGAUGAGUUCAGGUCAAAGGUCGUCAUCUUUUCAUGCACCACAGUUUAUAUCCCAGUCUAGUUGAUGUGAACCUCAGCUGGACGUGGCCCAGAUUUGAGAUCUUGCUGUGGUUAAAGAAGUCAAAAAGCGACAGUGUUUUCUCUUGACUGCAGUGUGAACGGCCUCGACUUUAUUAGGGGAAAAUUCAGGACAGACAUUUUACAUUAUUUUUCCACAAUCCUAUUUAUUUUUGAACAGCUAAAGCAUGACCCUGAGAUGGAAUCAACACAAUUACGAGAAUUACAGCUAAAAUAAUAGUUCAAUUCUCCUGUGGCUCAGUGGCUCAGAAUAACCCAUGAAAAAAAACAAAAGCGUUCUUCCUGUUUGCUGAAAGCUACAGGAUCUACCAGAUUUAGGGAAAUUGCUUGAAUGUUUUCAAAACUACUAAAAAAAACCAGUGAAUUAUAGGAGGACGAGAACUGUCGGGAAGUCGAGACCCGUUGAUGAUUUCUACGUAAGAAGGUUAUUCCUUCAAAUAAUAAUAAUAAUAAUAA